rnacentral:lncRNA from 1 species
ACUGGCUCAAAGAGAGGGAAAAAAAUGACACUCAGGCCUGGGCCAGUUACCCAAGAAGACAGAUGUGAUCAUCUUACCCUAAAGGAGCCUUUUUCAGGAGAGCCUAGUGAAGAAGUCAAGGAAGAAGGAGAUAAUGUAACACAAAACAGAGAGGAAGAAAGAAAGAUUGACAAUUCACAUAUAUCUACUUUGGAAAAUAUUGAAAACUUUAAAGGAGAAAAUAAAAAUCACCCGUAGCCCUGCUGUUUAGGAAACCUCAAAUGAAUUCUGAAGGGGAGAUACCUUCCCUGCCAUCAGGCAGCCAAUCUGCAAAACCAGUAAGCCAGCCCAGGAAAUCAACCCAGCCAGAUGUUUGUGCCUCUCCUCAAGAAAAGCCACUCAGGACUCUGUUUCACCAACCUGAGGAAGAGAUAGAAGAUGGUGGACUCUUCAUUCCAAUGGAAGAACAAGACAAUGAAGAAAGUGAGAAAA